rnacentral:rRNA from 1 species
GAUGAACGCUGACAGAAUGCGUAACACAUGCAAGUCAACUUGAACUUCGGUUUGGGUGGCGGACGGGUGAGUAACGCGUAAAGAACUUGCCUCACAGCUAGGGACAACAUUUGGAAACGAAUGCUAAUACCUGAUAUUAUGAUUUUAGGGCAUCCUAGAAUUAUGAAAGCUAUAUGCGCUGUGAGAGAGCUUUGCGUCCCAUUAGCUAGUUGGAGAGGUAACGGCUCACCAAGGCGAUGAUGGGUAGCCGGCCUGAGAGGGUGAACGGCCACAAGGGGACUGAGACACGGCCCUUACUCCUACGGGAGGCAGCAGUGGGGAAUAUUGGACAAUGGACCAAGAGUCUGAUCCAGCAAUUCUGUGUGCACGAUGAAGUUUUUCGGAAUGUAAAGUGCUUUCAGUUGGGAAGAAAAAAAUGACGGUACCAACAGAAGAAGUGACGGCUAAAUACGUG